AGAGAGGAAGUGACUCUGAGUCCAGACUGCCCCGCACCACUGUCAGAGGAAAGAACUGAAGUCAAAUGAAGUGACAAUCUCCUGUAGAAUAUUUAACAGAGCGCGAGGCAGAGGAAAAUGGCAAUCUGGGAACAGACAACUGAGCCCCAGAACAGACACAGACUCCGGUGCCAGAACAGAUGCCAAGUACAGUAGAUCAUAAAAUGGGAAAAUUACCUCUGCCCCGUGGGCUGUGUGUUGACACAGCGGGGGAAGGGGCUCCCCAGCAGCCAGCGUAGCUGGCUCUCUACUCCCGCUCGGAGUGAUGGUUGUCACGGACCCUGCCAGCUCCGCUUCCUGCUCCUCUCUGUGUUUCCACCGGUGACAGAGCUGUACCCCUAGAGGAAUCUGUGUAACCUAGCAGCUAUGAGGAACCCAAGGAGCCUCUGAGACAGCAUUGCAUGGAUUCUUCGUCCGUGAACAAUUUGUUUCAUCACACACUAGGACACCCGUUUUGGUGGUACUUGUCAUCACUCUGACUGCAUAGUAUGAAAGGUUGCCAAGAGUUCUUCGCUGCUUUUCAGAUUCACUUGUCAUAAACAAAAUACGUGAUUAAGUGCCAUUUUCUCUAAAAGGAACUCGAUUUGACUCUCUACUUGGGAACAAAAAGGGAGAAGUAAAAGAGUAGUAAAUCUAAGUUAUUCCUUGCUUUUUUAAUCCCCAACAUCUAGAAUUAUAUGAGCAUAAUGGGUAUGCAGGUUAAAUUGGGUACUGUCACAUUUUUAAAGGCACUAUUUUAAUUUUUAAAGGAGUAUAAGUGUUUUUCUACAGAAUGCAACAAUGUAAAUCAGCUCCCGUAGAUAUGUUAUUAUCCCUAUGGUUCAGCAGAUAAAUUUUUAGUUUUCAUAGUCUGAACAUGGUUGCAGUAGGUUCGAUUUUCCAAAGAUGGCUGCAACAAUAUCUUCCAUCAACAAUCCCUUCUUAUGAUGUGGUUUUCCCCUUCCUCCCUACAGGAGGUAGAUUCAACCCUCUGCUCUUAAAACUGGGUGGGCUUUUGUGGCUAUUUUGACCAAUAGAUUAGGGCAGAAGCCACUCCUUGUGACUUCUGAGGUUAAGUUAUCCCAGUGAACGCAAUCCAACUAUCCGAAGACGUCCAUGCUGCAAGGAAGCCCAAACGACCAUGUGCAAAGGGCCCACAUGAAAAGGCCUGAAGUUACGUGAAGAGAGAGAGAGAUGCCAAGGCAAUCCCCAGAUGCUCUGCCCCUUCCACCUCUGCUGUCGCAGCGCCAGCCGCCGUCUGACCGUAACCACAUGAGAAACUUGGAGCAAAAACUGCCCAGCUGAGUCCUGCCAGGAUCUCAGAGCCACAGAAACCAUACAAGAUAAUAAAAUGAUUGUUCUCCUAA